GCAGGGUGGAGGGAGCAUCCUGGGGAAAGCAAAGGCCCUGCCUGGAGUGCUGGAGUCCAAGUGAGGCAAGGAGGGGAUCCAUGUGGGAGAGAGGCUGGUGGCAGAGACGGGAGAUUGGUUACACACAGGGAUACUGAUCAAAUAAAUCUACUGAAGACAGUGGGAGUUAGGUUUCCUAUUGUCAGAGAAGGAAGUUAUGUAUAUGGAGAGAAAACUGGAAUGAAUCCUGUUGUGUGGGAUUAAAAUCGGAAUGAUCAGUGUACCCUUGUGGCCUUGAAUACAUAAAGAUAAGUCCAUAUAUAUAGAUGGAAAUGUGUGUGUGUCUAGUCCCCACAGUCACUGGGGUGCCUGGAGCAGCCAGCCCCGCAUAGCCUGGAGCACUCCUAGCACCUGAAUACUGGCUUCUGAAUAUGACUUUCCACUAAAGGAACCAGAGCACCUUGGAGAAACGGCUGAUUCUAGCACUGGGAAGUAGGAGUGGGGUGCAGAAAAUGAGCCCGGAACUUGUUGUUCUGCCAGAAAACAAGGAAGUGCUUAAUGAAUAAUGGGAACACGUCAGUAGGACACAGAGCCAGCUUGAAGGAGCCUUCAGUGGUCAGAAUCAGGGACAAUUUGAGCACCAACAUAGUGACAGUAACAGAUGGGAAACCACCAGUGCACACAGAUAUAAAGAGAAAAAGAGCAACUUCAUGGUGAAGAAGGCUGGCAGACAUCACCUCAUCCGUGACCAAAGUAAACAUCAACAGGGCCAAUAAAAAGCUUGCAGCACCUGGGGGGCUGCAGUGAGAAUGUGGCAUCACUCCAUAGGACUCCGGCCAGAGAGACAUCAGACAAUCCCAAAUGGAGGAGCAUUCUGCAAAAUGACUGCCAGUAAUUUUCAAAGCUCCUAGCUGAGGAAGUGUUUCAGGCUGAAGGAGACUGAAGACACAGAACUAAAUGCAAUAUGUGAUUCUGGACUGGACCCUCCAUUCUCAAGGAUGCAAGUGGGACAACCAGAGAAAUCUGAUGGGGUCUGAGGAGCACAUGGCCGUGAUGUGUUGUCACAUGCUGCAUCAUGACAGUUCAGUCAACAACAGGCCACAUAUAUGAUAUGCUUCCAUAAGAUUAUAAUGGGGCAGAAAAAUUCCUAACACCUAGUGAUGUCAUAAAGGGUUGUAAAGUCACAGUGCAACUCAUUAUUCCCAAGUUUGUGGUGAUGCUGGUGUAAACAAAC
rnacentral:lncRNA from 1 species